rnacentral:tRNA from 1 species
UCCCUGGUAGUCUAGUGGUUAGGACUUGGUGCUUUCACCGUUGCAGCCCAGAUUCAAUCCCUGGUUUGGGAA